rnacentral:rRNA from 1 species
AGAGUUUGAUUCUGGCUCAGACUGAACGCUGGCGGCAUGGCUAAAACAUGCAAGUCGAACGGACCCGCAAGGGUUAGUGGCGGAAGGGUGAGUAAAAGUAUCGAACGUACCCUGAGGUGGGGGAUAGGCAUGGGAAACUGUGCGUAAUACCCCAUGAUCUCGAGAGAGCAAAGCCGCAAGGCGCCUUGGGAGCGGCGAUAUACCUAUCAGGUAGUUGGCGGGGUAACAGCCCACCAAGCCGAAGACGGGUAGCCGGUGUGAGAGCACGACCGGCCACAUCGAGACUGAGACACUGCUCGGACUCCUACGGGAGGCUGCAGUAACGAAUAUUCCGCAAUGCGCGAAAGCGUGACGGAGCAAUGCCGCGUGCAGGAUGAAGCGGUUUCGCCGUGUAAACUGCUGUCAGGGGCGAGAAAUACUGAUCAGCCCCAGAGGAAGGACCGGCUAAACCCGUGCCAGCAGCCGCGGUAAGACGAGUGGUCCUAGCGUUAGUCGGAAUCACUGGGCUUAAAGGGUGCGUAGGCGGGCUCGUAAGUGCCUUGUGAAAGCCCCCGGCUCAACCGGGGAACUGCAGGGCAUACUGCGAGUCUUGAGGUAACUAGAGGCGGGCAGAACGAUAGGUGGAGCGGUGGAAUGCGUAGAGAUCUAUCGGAAUGCCGAAGGUGAAGACAGCCCGCUGGGGUUUACCUGACGCUGAGGCACGAAAGCGUGGGGAGCAAACAGGAUUAGAUACCCUGGUAGUCCACGCCCUAAACGAUGCACACUAGACGGGUGCGGCUCUGACGCCGUAUCGGUCGAAGAGAAAUUGAUAAGUGUGCCGCCUGGGGAGUACGGUCGCAAGGCUAAAACUCAAAGAAAUUGACGGGGGCUCACACAAGCGGUGGAGCAUGUUGCUUAAUUCGAAUCAACGCGAAGAACCUUACCUGGGUUUGACAUGCAUGGAUUAGUUGGUGGAAACAUCAAUGAGGCCCGCAAGGGUACAACAUGCACAGGUGCUGCAUGGCUGUCGUCAGCUCGUGCUGUGAAGUGUUUGGUUAAGUCCAUUAACGAGCGCAACCCCUGUCAUUAGUUGCUAACGCGUCAUGGCGAGGACUCUAACGAGACUGCCGGCGUCAAGCCGGAGGAAGGUGGGGAUGACGUCAAGUCCUCAUGGCCCUUACAUCCAGGGUUGCAAACGUGCUACAAUGGCGCGCACAAAGCGACGCGAGGCCGCGAGGCGGAGCAAAUCGCAGAAAACGCGCCCCAGUUCGGAUUGCAGGCUGCAACCCGCCUGCAUGAAGUCGGAAUCGCUAGUAAUCGGGGAUCAGCUACGCCCCGGUGAAUAAGUUCCUGAGCCUUGUACACACCGCCCGUCAAGUCAUGGGAGCCGGUAGCGCCCAAAGUCGCCAUAGC